rnacentral:lncRNA from 1 species
UGGAAAACCGCGGACUUGGCAACACUGCCCGGCAGCGUUUUGAAAGAGAAACAUCACAACACUCUGCAGUACCACAUCCCACAGAGACAGAGCUCUCGCACACAUCUACAGCCAACUCAACAAACACCAACAGCUGCUGCAUGUGGAGGAUUCCCAGACCACACUAGACUAGAUAGUUCAGCUCACCUCGUCUGGAUCCCGAUCCGCGCAGAAGUGCUUCUAGACACGAGCAUCGCCUCCAGCUCACCUGCUUCUGAUCGCAGCGCAUUCACACAGCCUUAUAAACACCUUCAGAGGGAUUCCCUGGAAUCUGGCUGAGACUUUCCGCGCAUCCGACGGAAUUCCCCAUGCAUCGGGAUACGGAGGAAAGCAGCCGAAGUUCAAGAUUAGUUAUAUCAGAUUAGUUCUUUGUUAUUUCUGGGUGAAACGUUCCGUAAAUUCUGAGGAAACGACCCCUGAAACUACAACUGAAAUCUGUCUAGAUUCAGCAGUGAGUGAGUGAAUGAACACGAAAGUGAAAUCAUUAUUACUCGCGUGCGAGAGCAGCUACUCAACACUAGAUAGCGUCAGGGUUAUUAACAACAUCAGAGCAGUGUUUGCAGCAGGAUACAUCUCAUCUAAAAUUGUUUGAACAUUUCUUAAUAUUGUAUUAAUUUUGCAGUUCAUGGCUUGAUUUAUGCAGUUUAUAUUUAUUGAUAAGCUGAAUUCAAAAUUAACUCAAUAAAAUACUAAGUAACUUUCCCCAUAUAUGGAACAAUACAGGCUACAUUUGAAUAUAGAAUAUAAAUAUUGUUUCUUUAGACUUUUAUAAAAAAGCAGUGUGGAACACUGACUAUAAACUCACCAUUCAGCACUCUGGUCCUCAAUAAGAAAAAUAUAAAGACAUAAUGUAGACUAUUGUUGAUUAUUAUUAAUUAGUCAUUAAAAAGACAAGAAAUUGUGUCAUAAAAAUCCCCUUGUGCUAUUCCAUAAAUCAAACACUUCAGUUAAAAUCAUCCUUUUAGGAAAUUAACCCCUUUUUCUGUUUUAUUAUGAUUUUCUUUCAGUCCUGUUAC